rnacentral:rRNA from 1 species
GGCCAGACUCCUACGGGAGGCAGCAGUGGGGGAUAUUGCACAAUGGGGGAAACCCUGAUGCAGCGACGCCGCGUGUGGGAAGACGGUCCUCUGGAUUGUAAACCACUGUCCCCAGGGACGAAGAUGACGGUACCUGGGGAGGAAGCCCCGGCUAACUACGUGCCAGCAGCCGCGGUAAUACGUAGGGGGCGAGCGUUGUCCGGAAUUACUGGGCGUAAAGGGUGCGUAGGCGGUGUAGCAAGUUAGAAGUGAAAUACCUAGAGCUUAACUCAGGUGCUGCUUCUAAAACUGCUAUACUUGAGUGCAGUAGAGGAAAGUGGAAUUCCUAGUGUAGCGGUGGAAUGCGUAGAUAUUAGGAGGAACAUCAGUGGCGAAGGCGACUUUCUGGACUGUAACUGACGCUGAGGCACGAAAGUGUGGGGAGCAAACAGGAUUAGAUA